rnacentral:rRNA from 1 species
UCAGAAGUGCGAAUGCUGACAUAAGUAACGAUAAAGCGGGUGAAAAGCCCGCUCGCCGGAAGACCAAGGGUUCCUGUCCAACGUUAAUCGGGGCAGGGUGAGUCGACCCCUAAGGCGAGGCCGAAAGGCGUAGUCGAUGGGAAACAGGUUAAUAUUCCUGUACUUGGUGUUACUGCGAAGGGGGGACGGAGAAGGCUAUGUUGGCCGGGCGACGGUUGUCCCGGUUUAAGCGUGUAGGCUGGUUUUCCAGGCAAAUCCGGAAAAUCAAGGCUGAGGCGUGAUGACGAGGCACUACGGUGCUGAAGCAACAAAUGCCCUGCUUCCAGGAAAAGCCUCUAAGCAUCAGGUAACAUCAAAUCGUACCCCAAACCGACACAGGUGGUCAGGUAGAGAAUACCAAGGCGCUUGAGAGAACUCGGGUGAAGGAACUAGGCAAAAUGGUGCCGUAACUUCGGGAGAAGGCACGCUGAUAUGUAGGUGAAGUCCCUCGCGGAUGGAGCUGAAAUCAGUCGAAGAUACCAGCUGGCUGCAACUGUUUAUUAAAAACACAGCACUGUGCAAACACGAAAGUGGACGUAUACGGUGUGACGCCUGCCCGGUGCCGGAAGGUUAAUUGAUGGGGUCAGCGCAAGCGAAGCUCUUGAUCGAAGCCCCGGUAAACGGCGGCCGUAACUAUAACGGUCCUAAGGUAGCGAAAUUCCUUGUCGGGUAAGUUCCGACCUGCACGAAUGGCGUAAUGAUGGCCAGGCUGUCUCCACCCGAGACUCAGUGAAAUUGAACUCGCUGUGAAGAUGCAGUGUACCCGCGGCAAGACGGAAAGACCCCGUGAACCUUUACUAUAGCUUGACACUGAACAUUGAGCCUUGAUGUGUAGGAUAGGUGGGAGGCUUGGAAGUGUGGACGCCAGUCUGCAUGGAGCCGACCUUGAAAUACCACCCUUUAAUGUUUGAUGUUCUAACGUUGACCCGUAAUCCGGGUUGCGGACAGUGUCUGGUGGGUAGUUUGACUGGGGCGGUCUCCUCCUAAAGAGUAACGGAGGAGCACGAAGGUUGGCUAAUCCUGGUCGGACAUCAGGAGGUUAGUGCAAUGGCAUAAGCCAGCUUGACUGCGAGCGUGACGGCGCGAGCAGGUGCGAAAGCAGGUCAUAGUGAUCCGGUGGUUCUGAAUGGAAGGGCCAUCGCUCAACGGAUAAAAGGUACUCCGGGGAUAACAGGCUGAUACCGCCCAAGAGUUCAUAUCGACGGCGGUGUUUGGCACCUCGAUGUCGGCUCAUCACAUCCUGGGGCUGAAGUAGGUCCCAAGGGUAUGGCUGUUCGCCAUUUAAAGUGGUACGCGAGCUGGGUUUAGAACGUCGUGAGACAGUUCGGUCCCUAUCUGCCGUGGGCGCUGGAGAACUGAGGGGGGCUGCUCCUAGUACGAGAGGACCGGAGUGGACGCAU